UUUAGAGCAACCUAAGUAAACGGUGAAGAAGAAAUGGGCAAACACACAAUGUUGUGAUGCCCAAUGCAGUUACAGUAUUUAAGAAGUAAUAAUUUUUUUAUUUGGUACAAGCCAAAUAAGUGUGAAUUAUCGCAAUACAAGAAUUAAACAAAUAAGUUGACCAUAACUACCAGGUCAACGACAAGAAAUUAAGUAUUGAAAUAAUCAUCAACAUAUGAGUCAAGAAAUAAUACAUUGAGGAAAUGUAAGAUUUUGGCAUGCUGAUAUGGAUCUAUAAGUGCAGCAGCAACUUCCAAUGCCAUUGGCAGCAGUCACCAAUCACAAAGGCAGCACGGAUUCACUUUGCAAUGUGGCAGUCAGUUAACUGACUAUGGCAGUGGUCGCAAAGCAGCUCAUCACCACAUCGCUUUGCCCAUGCAUGACGCAUCACCAGAGCUUACUGUGUGACCAAUUAGGACAAUGCACAUCCACAGAUGGUCAAUUAUAUGCUCCUGUGGGGGUUUUGGAUGGGAGUGUUUGAUCAUUCACCAUACUGCCUGGAUUUGGCACUGAGCAACUACCCAUUCUUCGCAGCAACGAAGAUACAGCUUACUACACAAUGCUUUCAUACUGAUGUUGAACUGCACGCUGGUAUAAUCAGUGGCUGCAAUCACAUGUGGCAAAUUUUUAGAGAGACAAUACUGAAAAACUUAUCAUACUGUGGCACAUCUAUAGCAGGAUCUUGCUUCUCCACAGGAACUGCAGGAAGAAAGAAGAAAAUUUCAAGACACUGUCUCAGUUUUCAG